GACGAACGCUGGCGGCGUGCUUAACACAUGCAAGUCGAACGGAAAGGCCCUGCUUUUGUGGGGUGCUCGAGUGGCGAACGGGGGAGUAACACGUGAGUAACCUGUCCUUGACUUUGGGAUAACCUCAUGAAACUGGGGCUAAUACCGGAUAGGAGCUCCUGCUGCAUGGUGGGGGUGGGAUAGUUUCGGUGGUUGGGGAUGGACUAGCGGCUUAUCAGCUUGUUGGGGGGGUAGUGGCUUACCAAGGCUUGGACGGGUAGCAGGGCUGAGAGGGUGAGCGGCCACAUUGGGACUGGGAUACGGCCCAGACUCGUACGGGAGGCAGCAGAGGGGAAGAUUACACAAUGGGCGGAAGCCUGACGCGACACCGCCGCGUGCGGGAUGACGGCCUUCGGGUUGUGAACCGAUUUCGCCUGUGACGAAGCGUGAGUGACGGUAAUGGGUGAAGAAGCACCGGCUAACUCCGUG
rnacentral:rRNA from 1 species